AGUGACUCUGAUCUGGUAAAGCCCCCAUCCUGCCCUGACCCUGCCAUGGGCACCAGGCUCCUCUGCUGGGCAGCCAUAUGUCUCCUGGGGGCAGAUCACACAGGUGCUGGAGUGUCCCAGUCCCUGAGACACAAGGUAGCAAAGAAGGGAAAGGAUGUAGCUCUCAGAUAUGAUGCAAUUUCAGGUCAUAAUGCCCUUUAUUGGUACCGACAGAGCCUGGGGCAAGGCCUGGAGUUUCCAGUUUACUUCCAAGGCAAGGAUGCAGCAGACAAAUCGGGGCUUCCCCGUGACCAGUUCUCUGCAGAGAGGCCUGAGGGAUCCAUCUCCACUCUGAAGAUCCAGCGCACACAGCAGGGGGACUUGGCCGUGUAUCUCUGUGCCAGCAGCUCAGCCACAGCACUACUGCUCCAGUGUCAGCUUGGUUCCGUAGGAAAUGGGGUUUCUAGAACCUGA